rnacentral:rRNA from 1 species
AUACGGAGGGUCCGAGCGUUAUCCGGAAUCAUUGGGUUUAAAGGGUCCGUAGGCGGGAAUCUAUGUCAGUGGUGAAAUCUUGCAGCUCAACUGUAAAAUUGCCAUUGAUACUGGAUUUCUUGAAUUAGUGUGAAGUGGUUAGAAUGUGUAGUGUAGCGGUGAAAUGCAUAGAUAUUACACAGAAUACCAAUUGCGAAGGCAGAUCACUAACACUAUAUUGACGCUGAGGGACGAAAGCGUGGGGAGCGAACAGGAUUAGAAACCCCAGUAGUCC